GCAAGCCAGCAAUACACUUUGACUGCACCUGAUGCUAAUUGAUCACUGAAGUUAAGCCACGUUGGGUGUGGUUAGUAUCCGGAUGGGUGACCGUGUGGACAAUUACGGGCUGCUGGCU
rnacentral:rRNA from 1 species